CCUCUCUGCAGUACCUUUCUCCAUCUCGAAGGUGUCAGGCUAGGAUUAGGACAGGGGCCCUGCCAGCCUGGGGAAUCUGAAAACUCACUUUGCAGGACCAGGGGCUGAACCAGGUGGGGUCAGGGAGUGAGUUGCCCAGUUGGGCAGCUCUGCGCUGUGGAAAGCCACAAGGGCAGGUGUAGGAAAGUGAGUGAAUUUGCCCACUCUUCUUCACCCCUGCCCCAUCUGCCGGAGACACUGGUGAACGCAGGCCGACGUAUGGCGGGGUGCCGAUGAUGAGGGCCUUUAUACGUUUGGACACCCCCUGAUGGUGGGCUGAGGCCUGGCCUGAGUCUGAGCCAACCGGAAGGGCCAGCCAUGUGGCCCCAAAAGCCAGCUGACCCUUGGAGCCCCCUCUUGCGAAGGCAGCACUGGGCUCUGUACACCCCAUACUCAACAUGCGCGAUCACAUACUAGCACUUGUUCUAAAACUCUGCCCUUCACACGUAUGCCCACCUCCUGCUGGCACACACAGGAAGUUCCUGUAUACCCACUCUGGCUCACACUCCUGGGCGCACUGUUUGCCUACAUGGCAUUUACCACGUCUACCACCCUGGGCUCCACCUGAAGUUUUGUCACCCCUUCCAGGGCCCAAAGGACUGAUUUGAGCACCUUCUUACCGCCCCCAGCUCUGGUUCAGAGCUGAGACCUGAGCUCAUCCCAUACCCCAGACUAGGAAUGUCCGUGGGCAGGACCCCAUGCCUCUCAGUGGCACAGCUGGUAGACUGGCUACGGCUCCUGGGCCAUAGACCCUCCCACUGGAGGCGUCAGCUCUGUUUCUGGGCAGCAGGUUCAGUCUGUUCUUCUCUGUUCUUAGCUCCAGUAGACCUUACCCUAGCAGGCGACAGCAAAGUUUGAGACCCAGUGAAGGUAGCCUCUGUGCUUGAAUGUGACCCCGUAGCUAUAGAUUAUCUGUGUUGUGAGCACCGGCUACCCCAUGUCCAGCCGGUUAUCUCUGGGCUCGAAGCUCCCCCAGAAAGGAAGCUUCUGUGUCCUUCUGCAUCUUUCUUGGGCAACAGCUCUGCACCAGCAGGCCAGUUUUCUCCUGGUUAGCCCUGCUUCAGUCAGGGAAUCACCCUGCCACCCUCCUUCACCCCAAACCAGGAGGUGAACAGACCCUGUGUUUGCCUGUGUAAGGACAAGGUGGGAAGGGUGGUGGGACUUGGAGCCCAGCCACCCGCCAUCGCAGCAGCAUGUUCUCAGCCCCUGCCAGACCUGCCCCUGUGCCACUUCAGUACUUAGUAGGCUGCUUGUCCAGGGGCCUCCAAGGCAGUGUAGAACUGGGAAGCCGAGGGAGGAAGGAAGCAUUAUUACAGCUGGUGGCCGUGCCUGCAGGGUGCUCUCUGGGCAGGGUCACAGGGAGAGUGAGAGGAGUGUGUAGACACACAUGUGUGGAUUCAGGCCAGCUUCGUGGGCCUGCCACGUGGGCAGUCCCCAGGGUCCCACACUCAGAGGGGCCUUCCCACCUGGUUUAAUGCUCUGCAGUUGCCAUCUUGGAACUGUGGACACCACAAAUUAUGCAGCAAGUCCUGGUGUGUUGUCCAGGGACAGGGUCUAGGUUCCAGAUAAAGCUCCCCUCUCAGGACUUGGAGACAGAGGCUGCUUCAGUGAAGUGUCACAAGGGAGGCCCAUAGGAGAAGGGACCAUCUUCUCCUGAGGUGAGGGUGGGGGUGGGUUGUGCUAUGGCCCUGCCCUGCUCCUGAUCUUCCCUGAGUCAGGACUUAGAAGCCCCGCUUCCUUCCCCAAACAGGCUCUCAAGGAGUCCCACCCCCUUCCCUACAGAUGGGGAGUGCCUUGGACGACUUGUGUCCAUCCCCCCCCCAAAUUUAUCCUUUGAAAUCUGAAUCCCUAAUGCCCUGGUAUUAGGGGCCUUUGGGAGGUGAUUAGCUCUUGAGGACCGAGCCUCAAGCAUGGGAUUAGUUCUUUUAUGAAAGAGACCCCCCAGAGCUCUGUAGCCGGUCUACCCAAUGAAGACACAGAAAGUGCAGGCUGUAAGCCAGGUCCUCAAGGACCCUGCUGGCACCUUGAUCGUGGACUUCCUGCCUUCAGAGCCGCAAGAAACAAAUCUCUGUUGUUUAUAAGCCACCCAGUCUGUGGUAUUUGUUAUAGCAGCUCAAACAGACUAAGAUAGAGAAGCUGAGGUCCUGAGGGGGACAGGUGUUUGCCCAAGGUCGCAGAGCCUUGAAACAGCCCCGAGGCUCUCGGCCCUUGGCACUCCCCUCCCUUGAACCAUCCCUCCCCUUCAUCCCCUAAUGCUGUCUGGGGAGGCAGGGGGCGUGGGGGAGUGUCCAGCCCCUCACAGGCCCUUUCCAGGUUCUCCCUGCUUUUCCAGCUGAGAAGCCUGGGACUGCCCCCGUAGGAGGGGAAUGCAGAGCUGGCACCUCCUUCCUCCCUCUCCUUCCCUUUUCCUCCUCCCACUGCCCUUCCCAGUUCCACGCAGAGCUGGUCAGUGAAAGGUUCUUCCCUGCCGCCAGCCAAAUCUGGCAGGCCUCCUGGGCAACUGGGAGGAGCCCCGGCAAGAAACCUGGCCCCAGGAUAAGGAAGGGGAGCUGGGUGGGCUUCCAGGGCUCUGGCUGAGGCCAGGGUGGGGGUAGAGUUUCCUGUCUUGCUGAGGAUCUCUUAGCCCCCGAGCAGCCUGGUGCCAACUGUGAUCCCUGUGUACCAGGCACAGACUUGGAGAUGGGGGGGCGGGGAGUGCCCAGAUGGAGGCAGGAGGCUCAGGAGCCAGGACCAGUUGGAGCUGUUUGGAGUCCAAUCCCCAGAGGGCCAAGCUGGGGGUGGAGAGUGAAGGGUUGCAGGGCUGGGGGCGGUGGAGGUUCUUCCCUCCCUGUGACCUCCGACCCAGAGCCUGGGACAGUGGGGGUGGGGGAGGCUGGUGUUCAACUCUAUUCUAGAAAGUGGGGGUGGAUCCUGGGAGCAAGGAUGAUUGACUGAGGGGGCGCAGGAGGAAGGUGAAGGAGAGCUAGAACCUCGGACCAUUCACUUUAAUUCCUGUGUGUCGUCUGUAAAAUGAAGACAACAGCAACACCCCCUUUCUUCUUUUGAGUUGGCCCCUUGGAACCGCCCAGACCCCGACCCUCACCGAUUGCUGUAUUCAUACUGGACCUGCUGGAGAUGCUAGCACAGUUGGGCUAUCUGGUGACUGUGUUCUUCAGCAUCUUCAUGUCCUUCCAAGCCACAGCC